rnacentral:rRNA from 1 species
UACGUAGGGUGCGAGCGUUGUCCGGAAUUACUGGGCGUAAAGAGCUCGUAGGUGGUUUGUCGCGUUGUUCGUGAAAACUCACAGCUUAACUGUGGGCGUGCGGGCGAUACGGGCAGACUGGAGUACUGCAGGGGAGACUGGAAUUCCUGGUGUAGCGGUGGAAUGCGCAGAUAUCAGGAGGAACACCAGUGGCGAAGGCGGCUUUCUGGUCUGUAACUGACGCUGAGGCGCGAAAGCGUGGGGAGCAAACAGG